rnacentral:rRNA from 1 species
UACGUAGGGUGCAAGCGUUAAUCGGAAUUACUGGGCGUAAAGCGUGCGCAGGCGGUUAUGUAAGACAGUUGUGAAAUCCCCGGGCUCAACCUGGGAACUGCAUCUGUGACUGCAUAGCUAGAGGUACGGUAGAGGGGGAUGGAAUUCCGCGUGUAGCAGUGAAAUGUGUAGAUAUGCGGAGGAACACCGAUGGCGAAGGCAAUCCCCUGGACCUGUACUGACGCUCAUGCACGAAAGC